rnacentral:rRNA from 1 species
AACGAGCGCUGGCGGCAUGCCUAACACAUGCAAGUCGAACGAGAUCUUCGGGUCUAGUGGCGCACGGGUGCGUAACGCGUGGGGAUCUGCCCUUUGGUUCGGAAUAACAGUUGGAAACGACUGCUAAUACCGGAUGAUGACGAAAGUCCAAAGAUUUAUCGCCAGAGGAUGAGCCCGCGUAGGAUUAGCUAGUUGGUGUGGUAAAGGCGCACCAAGGCGACGAUCCUUAGCUGGUCUGAGAGGAUGAUCAGCCACACUGGGACUGAGACACGGCCCAGACUCCUGCGGGAGGCAGCAGUGGGGAAUAUUGGACAAUGGGCGAAAGCCUGAUCCAGCAAUGCCGCGUGAGUGAUGAAGGCCUUAGGGUUGUAAAGCUCUUUUACCCGGGAUGAUAAUGACAGUACCGGGAGAAUAAGCUCCGGCUAACUCCGUGCCAGCCGCCGCGGUAA